rnacentral:ribozyme from 1 species
AUCACAUUGGCUCUGCAAUGGGGAAAAAUCCAAAGUCUGUUGAAGGGCACAUAGGCUCCCCUAACUGAUUCCUUCACGUCAUCGUGGUGCAGAGUGGAAGCAUGUCCAAGGGCCACGGUAUAUCCAAGCUGGAGUAUACCAGCAAGUUCCCAAUCCCUUUGGCAAAUGGUGGCAUAUGGCAAAACAGAUGGAG